UACGAGGGGGGCAAAUGUUGUUCGGAAUCACUGGGCGUAAAGGGUGCGUAGGCGGGUCUUUAAGUCAGGGGUGAAAUCCUGGAGCUCAACUCCAGAACUGCCUUUGAUACUGAAGACCUUGAGUUCGGGAGAGGUGAGUGGAACUGCGAGUGUAGAGGUGAAAUUCGUAGAUAUUCGCAAGAACACCAGUGGCGAAGGCGGCUCACUGGCCCGAUACUGACGCUGAGGCACGAAAGCGUGGGGAGCAAACAGG
rnacentral:rRNA from 1 species